AAAAGAAACUAACAAGGAUUCCCCUAGUAACGGCGAGUGAAGCGGGAAGAGCUCAAAUUUGAAAUCUGGUAGCCUUCGGUUGCCCGAGUUGUAAUCUAGAGAAGUGUUUUCCGUGCCGGCCCAUGUACAAGUCCCUUGGAACAGGGCGUCAUAGAGGGUGAGAAUCCCGUCCUUGACAUGGACCCCCGGUGCUUUGUGAUACACUUUCAACGAGUCGAGUUGUUUGGGAAUGCAGCUCAAAAUGGGUGGUGAAUUCCAUCUAAAGCUAAAUAUUGGCGAGAGACCGAUAGCGAACAAGUACCGUGAGGGAAAGAUGAAAAGCACUUUGGAAAGAGAGUUAAACAGUACGUGAAAUUGUUGAAAGGGAAACGAUUGAAGUCAGUCAUGCUCUUAGGAUUCAGCCGUUCUGCGGUGUAUUUCCUUUGAGUGGGGUCAACAUCAGUUUUGAUCGAUGGAUAAAGGCACGAGGAAGGUAGCACUCUCGGGUGAACUUAUAGCCUCGCGUCAUAUACAUUGAUUGGGACUGAGGAACGCAGCAUGCCUUUAUGGCCGGGAUUCGUCCACGUACAUGCUUA
rnacentral:rRNA from 1 species